rnacentral:rRNA from 1 species
UACGUAGGUGGCAAGCGUUGUCCGGAUUUACUGGGCGUAAAGAGCGCGCAGGCGGUCGCUCAAGUCGCGUGUGAAAGCCCCCGGCUCAACUGGGGAGGGUCACGCGAUACUGAUCGACUGGAAGGCAGGAGAGGGUAGUGGAAUUCCCGGUGUAGUGGUGAAAUGCGUAGAUGUCGGGAGGAACACCAGUGGCGAAGGCGACUACCUGGCCUGUUCUUGACGCUGAGGCGCGAAAGCUAGGGGAGCAAACGGG